UAAGACGAACCUGACGAACGUUAUUCGGAAUCACUGGGCUUAAAGGGUGCGUAGGCUGUGCAGAAAGUUGGGUGUGAAAUCCCUCGGCUUAACCGAGGAACUGCGCCCAAAACUACUGUGCUCGAGUGAGAUAGAGGUGAGCGGAACUUAGGGUGGAGCGGUGAAAUGCGUUGAUAUCCUAAGGAACACCGGUGGCGAAAGCGGCUCACUGGGUCUCAACUGACGCUGAGGCACGAAAGCUAGGGGAGCGAACGGGAUUAGAUACCCCGGUAGUCCUAGCCGUAAACGAUGAGCACUGGGUUGAAGGGUCCUCCAUAGCCCUUCAGCCGUAGCGAAAGUGUUUAGUGCUCCGCCUGGGGAGUAUGGUCGCAAGGCUG
rnacentral:rRNA from 1 species